AGGGUGUAAACGCUGCCGACUUGGUGUUGGAGGCCCUUCGGGGGCAUUCAGUGCCGGAGAGAAGUUGUUAAGUCGGCCACUUGGGGAGUACGUCCGCAAGGAUGAAACUUAAAGGAAUUGGCGGGGGAGCACCGCAACGGGAGGAGCGUGCGGUUUAAUUGGAUUCAACACCGGAAAACUCACCAAGGGCGACUGUUACAUGAAAGCCAGGCUAAUGACCUUGCUUGAUUUUCAGAGAGGUGGUGCAUGGCGUAGACGUGUU
rnacentral:rRNA from 1 species